GUGCCAGCCGCCGCGGUAAUACAGAGGGNGNGAGCGUUAAUCGGAUUUACUGGGCGUAAAGCGUGCGUAGGCGGCUUUUUAAGUCGGAUGUGAAAUCCCCGAGCUUAACUUGGGAAUUGCAUUCGAUACUGGGAAGCUAGAGUAUGGGAGAGGAUGGUAGAAUUCCAGGUGUAGCGGUGAAAUGCGUAGAGAUCUGGAGGAAUACCGAUGGCGAAGGCAGCCAUCUGGCCUAAUACUGACGCUGAGGUACGAAAGCAUGGGGAGCAAACAGGAUUAGAUACCCUGGUAGUCCAUGCCGUAAACGAUGUCUACUAGCCGUUGGGGCCUUUGAGGCUUUAGUGGCGCAGCUAGCGCGAUAAGUAGACCGCCUGGGGAGUACGGUCGCAAGACUAAAACUCAAAUGAAUUGACGGGGGCCCGCACAAGCGGUGGAGCAUGUGGUUUAAUUCGAUGCAACGCGAAGAACCUUACCUGGCCUUGACAUACUAGAAACUUUCCAGAGAUGGAUUGGUGCCUUCGGGAAUCUAGAUACAGGUGCUGCAUGGCUGCCGUCAGCUCGUGUCGUGAGAUGUUGGGUUAAGUCCCGCAACGAGCGCAACCCUUUUCCUUACUUGCCAGCAUUUCGGAUGGGAACUUUAAGGAUACUGCCAGUGACAAACUGGAGGAAGGCGGGGACGACGUCNAGUCAUCAUGGCYCUUACGGCCAGNGCUACACACGUGCUACAAUGGUCGGUACAAANGGUUGCUACACAGCGAUGUGAUGCUAAUCUCAAAAGCCGAUCGUAGU
rnacentral:rRNA from 1 species